ensembl:lncRNA LINC00237 long intergenic non-protein coding RNA 237
GGCUUCCGGGUCCAGCUGCUGACAGAAGGAGGAGCGAGCUGCACUGGGGCUUCAGCACCGAGUCCAGAGGGAGAGAGAGGCGAGCGGGAAGAGACUGGGGCAGCAUGAAUGUGCUGGAAGAUUAGAGGCUGCUGAUGCUGAAGGAAGGAGAAACGAGGAGGAAGUGUCCCUGUGGACAAGUCAUCUCCCUUCAUUUAAGCCAGGGAAGGCUGGGAGGUAUGAAUUUGAAGCUGGACACGUUGCUGCUCCCCUUAAAGUUUGGAUUAUUUUACUAAAGAAGAAGAGAACAGGAUCUUGUGUCUUCUACCAGUAUCCAUGAGAUUGUGGCAGGCUAAAAUCACAGACUCUUCAGAGUUUUCAUAAUGAUAAAGUAAAUAUUGCAAAGUACACAUACAAUAAGUGUACAAUUGAUGAAUCCUACAAAGUGAACUCACUCAUGUAACCAGCACCAGAUGAAGAAAAAAACAUCAGCAGCAUCACAGAAGCCCCCCAAAUGUCCCCUUCAGUCAAUAGCCUCCCAAAGAUAACCACACUCCUAUCUAGCAGUGUGGGUUAAUUUUUCCUGUUUUUGAACUUUGCAUAUAUUAAAUCAUACAACAUGUA